rnacentral:rRNA from 1 species
CGUGCAGGCGGGUUGGUAAGUCAGAUGUGAAAGCCCUGGGCUCAACCCAGGAAGUGCAUUUGAAACUGCCAUCCUUGAGUAUGGGAGAGGAGAGUGGAAUUCCCAAUGUAGAGGUGAAAUUCGUAGAUAUUGGGAGGAACACCCGUGGCGAAGGCGACCCUCUGGACCAAUACUGACGCUGAGACGCGAAAGCGUGGGGAGCAAACA